rnacentral:lncRNA from 1 species
GCUGGCCCCAGAAAGGGGCUUUUUGCCACCAGCUUCAGAAAAACAUGGCAGCUGGGGAAGUGGUUUGGACAUGCACACCAAACCCUGGGUUAGAGCAAGGGCCAGGAAGGAAUACUGGGAGAAUCUUCGGAUAGCCUCAGGCCGGCCAUACAACCCUUCAAUGUCAAAGCCAGAUGGCUGGGGAGUGACCAAAGGAACAGCCGAGCUGAUGCAGCAGAAAGAAGCCACAACUGAGCAGCAGCUGAAAGAGCUCUUUGAAAAACAAAAAUUCAAAUCACAGUAGCCUCGAUAGAAGCUAUUUUUGAUGAAUUUCUAGGUGUUUGGGUCACAGUUCCUACAAAUACGGAAAAGGGGGUUAAAAAGCAGUGCUUUCAUGAAUGCCAUCCUACACAUAUUAUUGCUAUUACCUGAACAAAAUAGAAUUACAAAUAGCACUUGAUAAUUUUAAAGUAUGUUUUAGAAAUUUUCUUAGGAGCAAAAUAAGUACAAAGUAAAUCUUGAACAGGUUCACUAAGCACCCACCCUGUGAAAAGUAUUAUGGAAAUCACUGCUGCACAGGAAAAGUAAUUCAGAUGUUAAUGCCACUUGAAGAAGUUGGUAGGCUAGCAAAGAGGAUGAGACAUGAACUGUCAUAAAGGACUCAGCAACCAGCCAGGGACAGAUAAAGCGCUAUGGAAAGGGGCUUCCAAGUUCUUUUGAACAUGACCCUUAGUAACAAACACAAUUUAUAUAAUGACCCAGCAAAACACAUCACAUCUUACUGUCGAAAUUAAAUGUGUGAUCCAUCCUAGUAUUUUCUGUUCCAUUCCUUUUCAUUCUAUUUCAUUUAUAAAACAUGCUAGUUGAGACUUUUCAAAUGGAUUUUUAUGACCCACUACUGGGUUUGGAUCCACAGUUUGAAAAAUAUUGCUACAAGACACUUAAGGAGACCAUCCUGUUUAAGUUUAUUCUUAUAAGUAGGUCAGUCAUAUGAGACCUGAUCAAUAAAUAUCCAAUACCC